rnacentral:lncRNA from 1 species
AACGAGAAAAGAAAACACAGCUCUAGGGCAACUUCAGAUCAAACUGUUACUGAUGUUUCAGAGCAGGGGUCAGGUUCCUCUUCUGAGAAAAUAAAAGAAACGACGGUGCCUAAGUCAGAGAAAGUACUAGAAGAGAAUAAUGAUCAGCCAAAGAAGAACUCAAAUGGUGGUGCCAAAGAAGAGAAAGUUCUUGGAAAGAAAACACUAGAAGAGAAAAACGAUAAGCCAAAGAAGAGCUUAAAUGGCAGUGCCAAAGACGAGAAAAGUCUUGAGCAGAAAACACUAGAAGAGAAUAAUGAUAAGCCAAAGAAGAGCUUAAAUGGCAGUGCCAAAGAAGAGAAAAGUCUUGGACAGAAAACACCAGAAGAGAACAAUGAUAAGCCAAAGAAGAGCUUAAAUGGCGGUGUCAAAGAAGAGAAAGAUCUUGGACAGAAAACACAAGAAGAGAAUAAUGAUAAGCCAAAGAAGAGCUUAAAUGGCGGUGUCAAAGAAGAGAAAGAUCUUGGACAAAAAACACAAGAGAAUAAUGAUAAGCC